rnacentral:rRNA from 1 species
GCGCGAAAACUUUGCAAUGCGAGAAAUCGUGACAAGGGAACUCCGAGUGCCCGUAAAUUCGGGCUGUCCAUCUGUUUAAAAAACAGGUGAAGAAAGGGCCGGGCAAGACCGGUGCCAGCCGCCGCGGUAAUACCGGCGGCUCGAGUGGUGGCCACUAUUACUGGGCUUAAAGCGUCCGUAGCUGGUCUGUUAAGUCUCUGGGGAAAUCUUCCGGCUUAACCGGAAGGCGUCCCAGGGAUACUGGCAGACUAGGGACCGGGAGAGGUGAGAGGUACUCCAGGGGUAGGAGUGAAAUCCUGUAAUCCUUGGGGGACCACCUGUGGCGAAGGCGUCUCACCAGAACGGCUCCGACAGUGAGGGACGAAAGCUGGGGGAGCAAACCGG